rnacentral:siRNA from 1 species
UUUAUUGUCCGAAACAAAUACAGA